rnacentral:tRNA from 1 species
GGGCGGUCUGGGUGGCGGGCAUGUGUCGCCGCCGGGUGAGGGCGGUCUGGGUGGCGGGCAUGUGUCGCCGCCGAGUUCGAGUCCGGGCGGCCUU